rnacentral:rRNA from 1 species
AUGGUAGCACCAGAAAAAGCUCCGGCUAACUUCGUGCCAGCAGCCGCGGUAAUACGAAGGGAGCGAGCGUUGUUCGGAAUCACUGGGCGUAAAGCGUGCGUAGGCGGUUUUGUAAGACAGAAGUGAAAUCCUGGAGCUUAACUCCAGAAUUGCUUUUGUGACUGCAAAGCUUGAAUCCAGGAGAGGUUGGGGGAAUUCCGAGUGUAGAGGUGAAAUUCGCAGAUAUUCGGAGGAACACCAGUGGCGUAGGCGCCCAACUGGACUGGUAUUGACGCUGAGGCACGAAAGCGUGGGGAUCAAACAGGAUUAGAUACCCUGGUAGUCCACGCCGUAAACGAUGUGUGCUAGCUGUCGGGAGUCUUAGGCUUUCGGCGGCGCAGCUAACGCACUAAGCACACCGCCUGGGAAGUACGGCCGCAAGGUUAAAACUCAAAGGAAUUGACGGGGACCCGCACAAGCGGUGGAGCAUGUUGUUUAAUUCGAAGCAACGCGAA